CCUACGGGGUGCAGCAGUGAGGAAUAUUGGUCAAUGGGCGCGAGCCUGAUCCAGCCAAGUAGCGUGAAGGAUGACUGCUCUAGGUGUUGUAAACUUCUUUUAUAAAGGAAUAAAGUGCGGCACGUGUGCCUUUUUGUAUGUACUUUAUGAUUAAGGAUCGGCUAACUCCGUGCCAGCAGCCGCGGUAAUACGGAGUUUCCGAGCGUUAUCCGGAUUUAUCGGGUUUAAAGGGAGCGUAGAUGGGUUGAUAAGUCAGUUGUGAAAGUGUGCGGCUCAACCGUAAAAUUGCAAUUGAUACUGGCAGCCUAGAGUACAGUUGAGGUAAGCGGAAUUCGUGGUGUAGCGGUGAAAUGCUUAGAUAUCACGAAGAACUCCGAUUGCGAAGGCAGCUUACUAAACUGCAACUGACAUUGAUGCUCGAAAGUGUGGGUAUCAAACAGGAUUAGAUACCCGUGUAGUC
rnacentral:rRNA from 1 species